ACAUUGUGAGGAGAGGUAUGACUAGCUAUGGUAAGUACAGAGUGAGGAGAGGUAUGACUGUAGCUGUGGUGAGUACAGUGUGAGGAGAGGUAUGACUAGCUAUGGUUAGUACAGAGUGAGGAGAGGUAUGACUAGCUAUGGUAAGUACAGUGUGAGGAGAGGUAUGACUGUAGCUGUGGUGAGUACAGUGUGAGGAGGGGUAUGACUAGCUGUGGUGAGUACAGUGUGAGGAGAGGUAUGACUGUAGCUAUGGUUAGUACAGUGUGAGGAGAGGUAUAACUGUAGCUGUGGUGAGUACAGUGUGAGGAGGGGUAUGACUGUAACUGUGGUGAGUACAGUGUGAGGAGGGGUAUGACUGUAGCUGUGGUGAGUAC